rnacentral:rRNA from 1 species
AGAGUUUGAUCCUGGCUCAGAAUCAACGCUGGCGGCGCGCUUAACACAUGCAAGUCGAACGAGAAAGGGGAGCAAUCCCUGAGUACAGUGGCGUACGGGUGAGUAACACGUGGAUGAUCUACCUUCUGGUGUGGAAUAACCCUGGGAAACCGGGGCUAAUACCGCAUAAGCUCGAGAGAGGAAAGCAGCAAUGCGCCGGAAGAGGAGUCCGCGGCCGAUUAGCUAGUUGGCAGGGUAAAAGCCUACCAAGGCGAAGAUCGGUAGCCGGCCUGAGAGGGCACACGGCCACACUGGCACUGAAACACGGGCCAGACUCCUACGGGAGGCAGCAGUGGGGAAUCUUGCACAAUGGGGGCAACCCUGAUGCAGCGACGCCGCGUGAGCGAUGAAGCCCUUCGGGGUGUAAGGCUCUUUCGGCAGGGAAGAUGAUGACGGUACCUGCAGAAGCAGCUGCGGCUAACUACGUGCCAGCAGCCGCGGUAAUACGUAGGCAGCGAGCGUUGUUCGGAGUUACUGGGCGUAAAGGGUGUGUAGGCGGUUGUUUAAGUUUGGUGUGAAAUCUCCCGGCUCAACUGGGAGGGUGCGCCGAAUACUGAAUGACUAGAGUGCGGGAGAGGAGAGUGGAAUUCCUGGUGUAGCGGUGAAAUGCGUAGAUAUCAGGAGGAACACCGGUGGUGUAGACGGCUCUCUGGACCGUAACUGACGCUGAGACACGAAAGCGUGGGUAGCAAACAGGAUUAGAUACCCUGGUAGUCCACGCCCUAAACGAUGCAUAUUUGGUGUGGGCAGUUCAUUCUGUCCGUGCCGGAGCUAACGCGUUAAAUAUGCCGCCUGGGGAGUACAGUCGCAAGGCUGAAACUCAAAGGAAUUGACGGGGGCCCGCACAAGCGGUGGAGCAUGUGGUUCAAUUCGACGCAACGCGAGACCUUACCUGGGCUCGAACGGCCGGUCAACGGAGGUGGAAACAUCUUUACCCGCAGGGGGUCCGGUCGAGGUGCUGCAUGGCUGUCGUCAGCUCGUGUC